UGUGAGUAGGCCGGGGAAAACAGCAGUGCUGAUGUCAGGAAGCUUCACUUGUGCACCAAGCCGGCUCUGAAACGGAAGAUACGGAGAAAGAUAGCGGGGCAACAGGACCACAGAUCAAGGACAGGCUCAGUCCACCUCUAUAACAGAGAGACCAAGACAGAACACAGGGGGAAGUGCUUUGUGCAGGAGAAGGAGCCUGGGCCAUGUGCCUGCAAUUUUUGAGCCUGUCUGCCUUCUCUAGUGCAUCCACACAGAAUAAAAGCAAUAUUGAGUGUCCUCUGUGGACAGGUGCUUUAUUAUCUUGACUUUUCAUCGCUAUGGACAACAGCUAAAUGAAGGUGUAGUUGGAGUUUAGGAAAGUGAAAUAUAAUCUUGUGGCAGAGGAAAUCUAGCGUUGCAUGGAGUCCCAUCACAUGAAUAUUCUAAGUACUUCGAGCUGGAGCUUACUGGAGCCAUCCCCUGUUCUGGCACAUGGGCGGCACGAGGGGGUUGGUUCUAUGAUGUCUAUAUGAUGUAAUAGGCAGAAAAGAAAAACAAACUCCAAGCAA